UUGCCCUAAAAUUCCAGAAUUUUAUUAUUCAACAAUAAGUUAUGGGCUUUAUUUCCACUUGUGUCUUUGUCGUGAAAACGUCUCCUGUCGUCUGUUUCCAAAUUUCGGUGGCACCGGUGGCACCAUACCUAAAAUUCUGAAAUAUAGCACGAAGGUAAAGUAUGCCGUAUAUGAAAAGGAACUUCAGAAAUAGUGGCAGGGUCAACAGUUUAAGUCGUAGAGGUGGACACUGCACAGCUCCUCUGGCUCAUCCCUCUCUGUGUUGUACACAUCUUCAGUGCUUAUCACAUGUACGUGGACCUUCGAAUAAACAGAGCGUCAGCCACGCUGCGAGCGGCAUUCCGAGGUCCGCACAAUUACCUGCUCCAAUUAGCCUGUGGGCAUUAGUAUGCAUAUUGGCAAACAGCGUGCCCAAACAUCGCCUUCUUCCGCACGUCUGCGGGGGAUGCGUCUACCUUGUGUUUACGCCAAACGCACGCUCUGCGAAGCUGCACGCGCGGAGUGGCCCUGCAAGGUGAUGUAUCCUGAAUAUAUGCAAAUGACCCGUAAGGAAGCUACAAUGGUAUUAGCGCCAAACAGGAAGGUGCCCUGGAGAACGCCCAGAAGGUUAGAUUGUUAGCAGGUGUGUGUUUGCCAAGCAGCUUGAGUAUACGGGGGAUGUGAUACCGAACGUACAGUUACAAUAGCUGGCUUUGUGUGCGAAUAGUGAAUUUUCAUUUCGAAAAAGAACAUCUUCCACACGUGGCAUCACGGUCUUUUUCAUGAUUGUUGCAGACACAGUGAGUGCCGGACUCCCAUGAGGUUGUUGUUGUAGUUAUAUGUCAUAUUGGAGGUGCUUCGAUGCGGAGAAAACUGGUCAGUGAGUCGUGAAGUGAAGCUGAACUGGUGAUACUGGUAUAUAUACUAGAGCAGAAUGUUGUGUGGUCAGUAGGUGCUCUGUUCUUUAAUGCAUUCCGCAAAUGGCCGUACGUAAAAAGUGAACGGAUGCGUGCACAAGCGCAAACGAUAUUGAAACAUCCAGCAAACUAAGAAAAAUUUACCGCUAUACCAGUUGGUUCUCGGAAACACGUGAUCUCUCCCCGGCCCCUCACUGACGC